GAUGAACGCUGGCGGCGUGCCUAAUACAUGCAAGUCGAGCGAACAGACGAGGAGCUUGCUCCUCUGACGUUAGCGGCGGACGGGUGAGUAACACGUGGAUAACCUACCUAUAAGACUGGGAUAACUUCGGGAAACCGGAGCUAAUACCGGAUAAUAUAUUGAACCGCAUGGUUCAAUAGUGAAAGACGGUUUUGCUGUCACUUAUAGAUGGAUCCGCGCCGCAUUAGCUAGUUGGUAAGGUAACGGCUUACCAAGGCAACGAUGCGUAGCCGACCUGAGAGUUGGUCCGCCCACACUGGACCUGAGACAGAGCCCACACCCCGCGGGGGGGGCCCAGUGGGGUUUCUCCCGAAAGGGGCGAAAGCCUCACGACGCACCCCCGGGUGAUAGAGGAGUGUUUUCGAAUCAAAAAACCCCUUUUUGGGAGAAAAAAAAAUGUGAAAUUAACUCUCCCCGUCUUCACGAUACCUAAUCAAAAGACCACGACAAACUACGUC
rnacentral:rRNA from 1 species